rnacentral:rRNA from 1 species
GACGAACGCUGGCGGCGUGCUUAACACGUGCAAGUCGAACGGUGACGGAGAGCUUGCUCUCCUGAUCAGUGGCGAACGGGUGAGUAACACGUGGGCAACCUGCCCCAGACUUCGGGAUAACGCUUCGAAAGAGGUGCUAAUACCGAAUACGAACGCCGUGGGCAUCCACGGUGUUGGAAAGUUUUUCGGUCUGGGAUGGGCCCGCGGCCUAUCAGCUUGUUGGUGAGGUAAUGGCUCACCAAGGCGACGACGGGUAGCCGGCCUGAGAGGGCGACCGGCCACACUGGGACUGAGACACGGCCCAGACUCCUACGGGAGGCAGCAGUGGGGAAUAUUGCGCAAUGGGCGAAAGCCUGACGCAGCAACGCCGCGUGGGGGAUGAAGGCCUGGUUGUAACGUACUUUCUAGCAGGAAGGAAGACGAAAGUAGACGGUACCGUAGCGAGAAGAAGACACCGG